rnacentral:rRNA from 1 species
ACUACGGGUGGCAGCAGUGAGGAAUAUUGGGCAAUGGACGAGAGUCUGAACCAGCCAAGUAGAGUGAAGGAGGACGGCCCGAUGGGGUGUAAACUUCUAUUAUAAAGGAAUAAAACGAGGCACGUGUGCCGUUUUGCAUGUACUUUAUGAAUAAGGAUCGGCUAACUCAGUGCCAGCAGCCGCGGUAAUCCGGAGGAUCCGAGCGUUAUCCGGAUUUAUUGGGUUUAAAGGGUACGUAGAUGGGUUCUUAAUUCAUUUGUGAAAGUUUGCGGCUCAACCGUAAAAUUGCAAUUGAUACUGGCAGUCUUGAGUACAGUUGAGGUAGGCGGAAUUCGUGGUGUAGCGGUGAAAUGCUUAGAUAUCACGAAGAACUCCGAUUGCGAAGGCAGCUUACUAAACUGCCACUGACAUUGAUGCUCGAAAGUGUGGGUAUCAAACAGGAUUAGAUACCCCUGUAGUC